rnacentral:rRNA from 1 species
UGGGGAAUAUUGGACAAUGGGGGGAACCCUGAUCCAGCCAUGCCGCGUGUGUGAAGAAGGCCUUAUGGUUGUAAAGCACUUUAAGCGAGGAGGAGGGUACUGGUAUUAAUACUACCAGGUACUGGACGUUACUCGCAGAAUAAGCACCGGCUAACUCUGUGCCAGCAGCCGCGGUAAUACAGAGGGUGCGAGCGUUAAUCGGAUUUACUGGGCGUAAAGCGUGCGUAGGCGGCUAAUUGAGUCGGAUGUGAAAUCCCCGAGCUUAACUUGGGAAUUGCAUUCGAUACUGGUUAGCUAGAGUGUGGGAGAGGAUGGUAGAAUUCCAGGUGGAGCGGUGAAAUGCGUAGAGAUCUGGAGGAAUACCGAUGGCGAAGGCAGCCAUCUGGCCUAACACUGACGAUGAGGUACGAAAGCAUGGGGAGCAAACAGG